AUGGGAACAGAGAACACAACACUGCUGACAGAAUUUGUUCUCACGGGACUCAGUCACCAGCCACAAUGGAAAAUCCCCCUGUUCCUGCUGUUCUUGGUCAUCUAUCUUAUCACCAUUGUGGGGAACCUUGGUCUGAUCAUUCUCAUCUGGAAUGACCCUCGCCUUCAAAUACCCAUGUACCUAUUUCUUGGGUGUUUAGCUCUUGUUGAUACUUGGUUAUCAUCCACAGUGACACCAAAGAUGCUCCUCACCUUCACAGCUAAGAGCAAACUGAUCUCUCUGAAUGCAUGAUACAGUUCUUUUCAUUUGUGAUGUGUGCAACUAUGGAAUGUUUUCUCUUGGCAGCAAUGGCCUACGAUCGCUAUGCAGCCAUAUGCAAACCCUUACUGUACCCAGUGAUCAUGACAAAUAGACUGUGUGUUCGUCUGUUAGUCUUGACCUUUGUAACUGGAAUUCUUCAUGCUUCAAUUCAUGAAGGCAUGCUGUUCCGAUUAACCUUCUGUAAUUCCAAUGUAAUACAUCACUUUUACUGUGAUGUUAUGCCACUGUUAAAGAUUUCCUGUACCGACCCUUCUCUUAAUUACCUGAUUGUUUUUAUUUUCUCUGGCUCAAUUCAAGUUUUCACUAUCUCAACUAUUCUAGGCUCUUACACACUUGUUCUCUUUACAAUCUUAAAAAAGAAAUCUGCCAAAGGCAUAAAGAAAGCCUUCUCCACCUGUGGAGCUCAUCUCCUUUCUGUGUGCUUAUAUUAUGGUUCUCUUCUCUUCAUGUAUCUGCUUCCUGCAUCCCAAAAAGCACAGGAUGAAGACAUGAUGGACUCUGUAUUCUACACUGUCAUAAUCCCUGUGAUGAAUCCAAUCAUCUAUAGUUUGAGAAACAAGCAAAUCAAAGACUCACUGGAAAAAUUCUUAAAGAGAAAUGUUUAG